rnacentral:misc_RNA from 1 species
UGAGGAGUGAAUAGCUAGUAUUAAAAAGAAAAAAAGGUUUUCUCUUUCUACGUUUUUUUCUCGUGCGAAUUACGUCCAAAGAGACUGAGAUACAAAAGCAGAGAGACAAUGUCGACGACGAACACGACAUCGACGGCCAUUAGCUUCGCGAAUAUUCGUGUCUUGUAUCUAAGUGAUGAAGAGAAUGGCUGUGCUGCUCCCAAGCCCAAAUAUUCGCAUCUCGUGGAAUUACUCACUGAAUACGAUCCCGAGGGUAUGAAUGUUCGUGUUGUGAAUCCUAAAACAGGAGAGACGCAUCAGGAAUUCAUUGUAAAAAAGACGACAGAGUCCGCCAAAUGCGGUAAAAAAGGAAUGAUUUUCCAUCUCUCCAUCGAAACCCUCCUCUUUGUGUUUAAAUGUGAAGAAAAGUUCCGUAAAUUCGCCUCCAUGGUGAGCAGUAUUAGGUGCGAGUCUCGACUCUCCGUCUUUAAUGAGCGAACAGAAGAUUCCUCCGCAAUGCAGUAUUUUCAAUUCUAUGGUUAUUUAUCACAACAACAAAAUAUGAUGCAAGACUACAUUCGUACCUCCACAUAUCAAAAGGCUAUUCUCUCCAAUCUAUCUGACUUUCGCGAUAAAGUAGUCUUGGAUGUGGGGGCUGGUUCAGGGAUUUUGAGUUUCUUUGCUCAACAAGCUGGAGCUCGCAAGGUCUACGCUGUUGAAGGCUCAAGCAUUGCUAAAUUUGCGGAUAAACUUGUCAAACAGAAUAAGGUGGACAAUGUUAUUCAAGUGAUCCCUGGAAAAAUUGAGGAAAUUGAAUUACUCGAGCCUGUGGACAUGAUUAUUUCUGAGCCUAUGGGAUAUAUGCUUUUGAACGAGAGAAUGCUUGAAACUUAUUUACACGCAAAGAAAUGGUUAAAAAAAGAUGGUAAAAUGUUCCCCUCAAGAGGAGACUUGCAUGUCGCUCCAUUCACGGAUGAGGCACUUUAUUUCGAACAAAUAAACAAAGUCAAUUUUUGGUAUCAAGAAUAUUUCCAUGGAGUGAAUUUGAGUUCCUUGAGAGAGUCUGCACUAAGAGAAUACUUUCGUCAACCCAUUGUUGAUACUUUUGAUGUCCGGAUAUGCCUUGCAAAAACUCAGAGACACAUAAUUGAUUUUCAUAAGGCGGAAGAGUCGGACUUGUAUCGUAUAGAUAUUCCCCUUGAAUUUCACAUUCUUCAAUCAGGAAUGAUUCAUGGUCUAGCAUUUUGGUUCGAUGUAGCAUUUAUAGGGACAGGGGCAACGGUGUGGUUAUCUACAGCACCUACAGAGCCUCUUACACAUUGGUAUCAAGUUCGCUGUCUUUUAGAGACUCCUAUAUUCGCAAAACAGGGUCAAAUGGUUACUGGAAGAGUUCUCAUGGUGGCAAAUACAAAACAAAGCUACGAUGUGACAAUUGAAUGUAAAAUCAUGGGAACAGACACUUCAUCGAAGAAUUCUUUGGAUCUGAAAAACCCUUACUUCCGAUAUACAGGGGUACAACCUCAGCCUCCUCCUGGAGAGAAUACGGCUUCACCCUCUGAGACCUACUGGUCAGAGGUGGACAUGCAAGGUGCGAGACAGGCUGUCAACCUAGUGAAUGGCGUUAUUGUUGAUGGUCUCGGACACGUUUCCCUGAAUGGAGGUGCAAAUGGUGGGAAUACUAAUGCGAUUCAACAGGCAAAUAUUCAUCAGGAGUUUAUUAAAGCAAUGGGCUGUGAGAUGUAAACAACGUGAUUCAAAAUAAUCCAAGAGAUGGCGCGUCAUACUAACGCUCUAGAAAACUGAAUACUUAAAUUAUAAAAACAACAUAUUCAUCAAGAAAGUGUUUAUUCUCCAUCUUUUUAUACAUAGAACUAAGAACUCUAUGAAACUUUUCAAUCAUCAUUACUGCUUGAUGGUUACUUAGUUAUUAUUACAAUAGCCUUGAAUUGCACGCUUUACUAUAUAUAGUAUAUUAAAAAACACUCUUGUAGACUCCUAUUGACGUGGAAACUUUACUGUAAUCAGGCACACAAUUACCUGUGACACAAAUCAUAAUAAUUCAACUAAACAACCACUGAAUAAAUAAAAUGAAGCAAUGGAGGAGACUCCGCUUUCGCCUUCUUGUUCAGAUGAAUAUUUAGAAGACGGACUCCCAGACUUAGUGCUUGAUGCAACAACGUACAGAAGCUCUACAUCCUCAUUGCUACUAGAUGAGAAAGGCCUCUUAGAUCUUCUCAAUGAUCAUCACUACUCUCUCUCCACGUCUCAUCUUGAAGAACCUACAUCCUUUGAGGCUUGUAGCAGCUCUGCAUCCUACCUUCUCUUGGAUUAUUAUAACGAUGACUCUAUACACGUAGAUAAGAAUAGGGUUUCUUAUACAGAUCACUCUAAAUUGUAUGUCUCUCCCAAGAAAUCCCAGGUCUAUAGAUCCUAUCUUUCCUUGUUACCAAGUGAAAAUCCAUCCGAUUCUAAUUUUCAACAUAUUAAUGGAUCUCUAUCCAAAACAGCAUCUGAGGAGUCCUUUCUUGAAAAAUUCAAGUCUCUCUCUACGGGGAGUCAAGAGUCUGUUCGAAAAAAGUGGCGUGAGGAUUUAUUACUAACACAAAUGGAUAUUGGGCGGAUACGUGGUGAGUUAGAGGAUAAAGUGGAACAUGCAUUAAACUUGAAGAAACAAUUAGGGAUGAGUUUCUCGUGGAAGGAAAAAAUGGGAUAUAUCAGAUCCUUGGCAAAAAAUGCGAAAUCUAAAUUUGCAUCUUCAAUUUUGGAGAACUUUGACUGAUUCCCUAUAAUUACACCACUAUCCAUCUAAAGUCUUUAAAUUUUCAUAUAUGUUGGCUUUAACUAUAUAAAAUAUAUAAUAUUAUGUUUUAAACAAAUAUAUUAUUUAGUUUCGUAAUAGUACGUUUUAAGGAUUUUUUACCAAAUAAUAUGUUCAAUGCUCAAUUUAUACUCUAUAUACUUUUAAAUUAAUAGUCUAUAAUUUUAUGUGAUUCAUGUAAACCGUUAUUUAAAUUAGAUAUAAAGAAUAUAUAUAUAUUGUUUAAA